rnacentral:rRNA from 1 species
GACGAACGCUGGCGGCGUGCUUAACACAUGCAAGUCGAACGCUGAAGCUCAGCUUUUGUUGGGUGGAUGAGUGGCGAACGGGUGAGUAACACGUGAGUAACCUGCCUCCUUCUUUGGGAUAACGCCCGGAAACGGGUGCUAAUACUGGAUAUUCACUGGUCUUCGCAUGGGGGUUGGUGGAAAGGGUUUUUCUGGUGGGGGAUGGGCUCGCGGCCUAUCAGCUUGUUGGUGGGGUGAUGGCCUACCAAGGCUUUGACGGGUAGCCGGCCUGAGAGGGUGACCGGUCACAUUGGGACUGAGAUACGGCCCAGACUCCUACGGGGGGGAGCAGUGGGGAAUAUUGGACAAUGGGCGCAAGCCUGAUGCCGCGACGCCGCGUGAGGGAUGGAGGCCUUCGGGUUGUGAACCUCUUUCGCUCAUGGUCAAGCCGCAACAAUGGUUGUGGUGAGGGUAGUGGGUAAAGAAGCGCCGGCUAACUACGUG